rnacentral:rRNA from 1 species
UACGGAGGGUGCAAGCGUUGCUCGGAUUUACUGGGCGUAAAGAGCUCGUAGGCGGUUUGGUAAGUCUGAUGUGAAAGCCCUGGACUCAAUCCAGGAAGUGCAUUGGAUACUGCUAGACUAGAGUGCAGGAGAGGUGAGCGGAAUUCCAGGUGUAGAGGUGAAAUUCGUAGAUAUCUGGAGGAACAACGGAGGCGAAGGCGGCUCACUGGACUGAUACUGACGCUGAGGAGCGAAAGUGUGGGUAGCGAACAGG